AUUGAACGCUGGCGGAAUGCUUUACACAUGCAAGUCGAGCGGCAGCGCGGGGCAACCUGGCGGCGAGCGGCGAACGGGUGAGUAAUACAUCGGAACGUGCCCAGACGUGGGGGAUAGCCCGGCGAAAGCCGGAUUAAUACCGCAUGAGAUCUGAGGAUGAAAGCAGGGGACCUUCGGGCCUUGCGCGUUUGGAGCGGCCGAUGGCAGAUUAGGUAGUUGGUGAGGUAAAGGCUUACCAAGCCUGCGAUCUGUAGCUGGUCUGAGAGGAUGAUCAGCCACACUGGGACUGAGACACGGCCCAGACUCCUACGGGAGGCAGCAGUGGGGAAUUUUGGACAAUGGGCGCAAGCCUGAUCCAGCCAUUCCGCGUGCAGGAUGAAGGCCCUCGGGUUGUAAACUGCUUUUGUACAGGACGAAAAGGGCCUGGCUAAUAUCUAGG
rnacentral:rRNA from 1 species